GACGAACGCUGGCGGCAUGCCUAACACAUGCAAGUCGAACGGAGAUUAUUUCGGUAAUCUUAGUGGCGAACGGGUGAGUAACGCGUGGGCAACCUGCCCUCUAGAUGGGGACAACAUCCCGAAAGGGGUGCUAAUACCGAAUGUGACAGCAAUCUCGCAUGAGGAUGCUGUGAAAGAUGGCCUCUAUUUAUAAGCUAUCGCUAGAGGAUGGGCCUGCGUCUGAUUAGCUAGUUGGUGGGGUAACGGCCUACCAAGGCGAUGAUCAGUAGCCGGUCUGAGAGGAUGAACGGCCACAUUGGGACUGAGACACGGCCCAGACUCCUACGGGAGGCAGCAGGGGGGAAUCUUCCGCAAUGGGCGAAAGCCUGACGGAGCAAUGCCGCGUGAGUGAUGAAGGAAUUCGUUCCGUAAAGCUCUUUUGUUUAUGACGAAUGUGCAGAUUGUGAACAAUGAUCUGUAAUGACGGUAGUAAACGAAUAAGCCACGGCUAACUACGUG
rnacentral:rRNA from 1 species